rnacentral:tRNA from 3 species
CCUUUAACCAAAGGAGCUAGUCCAAGCUAAGACUUCUA